rnacentral:rRNA from 1 species
UACGUAGGCAGCGAGCGUUGUUCGGAGUUACUGGGCGUAAAGGGUGUGUAGGCGGUUGUUUAAGUUUGGUGUGAAAUCUCCCGGCUCAACUGGGAGGGUGCGCCGAAUACUGAAUGACUUGGAGUGCGGGAGAGGAAAGGUGGAAUUCCUGGUGUAGCGGUGAAAUGCGUAGAUAUCAGGAGGAACACCGGUGGUGUAGACGGCUUUCUGGACCGUAACUGACGCUGAGACACGAAAGCGUGGGUAGCAAACAGG